UACGGAGGAUGCAAGCGUUAUCCGGAAUGAUUGGGCGUAAAGGGUCCGCAGGUGGCAGUGUAAGUCUGCUGUCAAAGAAUGAGGCUUAACCUUAUCAAGGCAGUGGAAACUACACAGCUAGAGUACGGUCGGGGUAGAAGGAAUUCCUGGUGUAGCGGUGAAAUGCGUAGAGAUCAGGAAGAACACCGGUGGCGAAAGCGUUCUGCUAGACCGCAACUGACACUGAGGGACGAAAGCUAGGGGAGCGAAUGGG
rnacentral:rRNA from 1 species